rnacentral:rRNA from 1 species
AGAGUUUGAUCCUGGCUCAGAUUGAACGCUGGCGGCAGGCCUAACACAUGCAAGUCGAGCGGAUGACGGGAGCUUGCUCCCGGAUUCAGCGGCGGACGGGUGAGUAAUGCCUAGGAAUCUGCCUGGUAGUGGGGGACAACGUUUCGAAAGGAACGCUAAUACCGCAUACGUCCUACGGGAGAAAGCAGGGGACCUUCGGGCCUUGCGCUAUCAGAUGAGCCUAGGUCGGAUUAGCUAGUUGGUGAGGUAAUGGCUCACCAAGGCGACGAUCCGUAACUGGUCUGAGAGGAUGAUCAGUCACACUGGAACUGAGACACGGUCCAGACUCCUACGGGAGGCAGCAGUGGGGAAUAUUGGACAAUGGGCGAAAGCCUGAUCCAGCCAUGCCGCGUGUGUGAAGAAGGUCUUCGGAUUGUAAAGCACUUUAAGUUGGGAGGAAGGGUUGUAGAUUAAUACUCUGCAAUUUUGACGUUACCGACAGAAUAAGCACCGGCUAACUCUGUGCCAGCAGCCGCGGUAAUACGAGGGGUGCAAGCGUUAAUCAAAAUUACUGGGCGUAAAGGGUGUGUAGGUUGUUUUUGAAAGUUAAUUGUAAAAGUUAUUAAAGCAAUUUAAUAAAGCAAUUAAUACUAAUAAACUUGAGUAUAAAAGAAGAAAUUAGAAUUUCAGGAGUAGCAGUGAAAUGCUUAGAUAUCUGAAGGAAUACUAGUGGCGAAGGCGUUUUUCUAUUUUAAUACUGACACUGAUACACGAAAGCAUAGGGAGCAAACAGGAUUAGAUACCCUGGUAGUCUAUGCAGUAAACGAUGUCAACUAUUUAUUAAAUAACAUAUUUAUUUUUUUUAGUGAAAUUAAAAACUUGUAUUUUUAGUAAAAAAGCUAACGCGUUAAGUUGACCGCCUGGGGAUUACGACCGCAAGGUUAAAACUCAAAUGAAUUGACGGGGACCCGCACAAGCGGUGGAUGAUGUGGAUUAAUUCGAUGCAACGCGAAAAACCUUACCUACCCUUGACAUGUUAGAAACUAUAAAGAGAUUUAUAGGUGCUUGCAAAAGAAUCUAAACACAGGUGCUGCAUGGCUGUCGUCAGCUCGUGUCGUGAGAUGUUGGGUUAAGUUCCGCAACGAGCGCAACCCUUAUUAUUAGUUGCUACGAAAGAGCACUCUAAUGAAACUGCCGGUGACAAGCCGGAGGAAGGUGGGGAUGACGUCAAGUCCUCAUGGCCUUUAUGGGUAGGGCUUCACACGUCAUACAAUGGUGCAUACAGAGGGUCGCCAAUCUGCAAAGAGGAGCUAAUCCCAAAAAGUGCAUCGUAGUCCGGAUUGGAGUCUGCAACUCGACUCCAUGAAGUCGGAAUCGCUAGUAAUCGCGGAUCAGCAUGUCGCGGUGAAUACGUUCCCGGGUCUUGUACACACCGCCCGUCACACCAUGGAAGCAGGUUUUACCAGAAGUGAGUAGCUUAACCGAAAGGAGGGCGCUUACCACGGUAAGGUUUGUGACUGGGGUGAAGUCGUAACAAGGUAACCGUAA